rnacentral:rRNA from 1 species
UACAGAGACUGCAAGCGUUAUUCGGAUUCACUGGGCGUAAAGGGUGCGCAGGCGGCCGGGUGUGUCAGGUGUGAAAUCCCGAGGCUUAACCUCGGAACUGCGUCUGAAACUACUCGGCUAGAGUAUUGGAGAGGGUAACGGAAUUCACGGUGUAGCAGUGAAAUGCGUAGAUAUCGUGAGGAACACCAGAGGCGAAGGCGGUUACCUGGACAAUUACUGACGCUCAGGCACGAAAGCAUGGGGAGCAAAAGGG